rnacentral:rRNA from 1 species
UACGUAGGGGGCAAGCGUUGUCCGGAAUCAUUGGGCGUAAAGAGCGCGUAGGCGGCCCUGUAAGUCCGCUGUGAAAGUCAAGGGCUCAACCCUUGGAUGCCGGUGGAUACUGCAGGGCUAGAGUCCGGAAGAGGCGAGUGGAAUUCCUGGUGUAGCGGUGAAAUGCGCAGAUAUCAGGAGGAACACCGAUGGCGAAGGCAGGUCUCUGGGCAUUAACUGACGCUGAGGAGCGAAAGCAUGGGGAGCGAACAGG